AUUGAACGCUGGCGGCAGGCUUAACACAUGCAAGUCGAGCGGAGAGAGGUAGCUUGCUACUGAUCUUAGCGGCGGACGGGUGAGUAAUGCUUAGGAAUCUGCCUAUUGGUGGGGGACAACAUUUCGAAAGGAAUGCUAAUACCGCAUACGUCCUACGGGAGAAAGCAGGGGAUCUUCGGACCUUGCGCUAAUAGAUGAGCAUAAGUCGGAUUACCUAGUUGGUGGGGUAAAGGCCGACCAAGGCGACGAUCUGUAGGGGGUCUGAGAGGAUGAUCAGCCACACUGGAACUGAGACACGGUCCAGACUCCUACGGGAGGUAGCAGUGGGGAAUAUUGGACAAUGGGCGAAAGCCUGAUCCAGCCAUGCCGCGUGUGUGAAGAAGGUCUUCGGAUUGUAAAGCACUUUAAGUUGGGAGGCGGCUCUUUUGGUUAAUACCCAAGAUGAGUGGACGUUACUCGCAGAAUAAGCACCGGCUAACUCUGUGCCAGCCGCCGCCGUAA
rnacentral:rRNA from 1 species